UAAUCCUGUUUUACACAUAAAUAUAUACUCAUACAACCUGUUUUAGAUCGCCGAGGAUUCGGACAAGAACGUCGCUUAUGACAACAUUAAUGUAAUAGUAGAGACAGCUAUUAAGUGCCCAACGAUCGAGUUACAGGUGAUCAUUGAGCCUUCAGUUAAUCUUUUAUUUAGCGCCAACAACAAGCGCAAACUAAUUGAAAAAGUAACGACGUUGCUUGGAGAAAACGAUACUAAUUCUAUAAGAAUAAAAAACGUCAACGACAAUCCGUCUACGAUUACUUUGUACAACCUCAAUUUAGGGCCGAAAAUAGAAAUCGACACUAAGGAAUUGCAUAACACAUUUACAGUUGAAGUGAGCGGCGACAAUCUUGAACAAGGGAAUCAGAUUGGCAAAAAAGACGUCAAAAUUACUUCUUUCCGUAUCAUUCCAAUAAGUUCUUGUACCUCUCGUAAAUAACGAAUUAUUUCUAUAUAGGUAUAUAAUACCCACGGAUUGACUCAAAUUCUUUUAAGUAUAACAGUUACACAUAUAUGUUAUUAUUACAAUUGUUACAUAUUUUAAUAAUACUUAAUAAAUCGUAUCUUCAAUAAAA